AUUGAACGCUGGCGGCAGGCCUAACACAUGCAAGUCGAACGCGUGGCGGACGGGUGUGUAUUGUCUGGGAAACUGCCUGCUGGAGGGGGAUAACUACUGGAAACGGUAGCUCCUACCGCAUACCAUCAGAUGUGCCCAGAUGGGAUUAGCUUUUUGGUGGGGUAACGGCUCACCAACGCGACGAUCCCUAGCUGGGCUGAGAGGAUGACCAGCCACACUGGAACGGAUACACGGUCCAGACUCCUACGGGAGGCAGCAGUGGGGAAUAGUGCAUAAGGGGAGCAAGCCUGAUGCAGCCAUGCCGCGUGUAUGAAGAAGGCCUUCGGGUUGGAAAGUACUUUCAGCGGGGAGGCGUUACCCGCAGAAGAAGCACCGGCUAACUCCGUGCCAGCAGCCGCGGUAAUUC
rnacentral:rRNA from 1 species